rnacentral:tRNA from 1 species
AUUUCGCCGUCUUCGUUUCUCUUUCUUCGCGGACGAACACGCGCCAGGGGCUUAGCGCUGUGCGGUCGCAUUCGGCGCUGGUCGUCGGCUGCACGCACGCAAGAUCCCUAGUCCUAUGAAGGAUAGCGUUAGGGGCUUGUAGCUCAGUUGGUUAGAGCGCGCGCUUGAUAAGCGUGAGGUCGGAAGUUCAAGUCUUCCCAGGCCCACCAGCCUUCGCGCUUCGCUGCUUCGGCUAGGUAGGCCCUUCGAGACGAAGGCUGCCGCGCCGUAGUCUUGGCGAAGGCGGGCUAAAUCAAUCGAGCAUUCGUCUUCUGGUUACGGGGCCAUAGCUCAGCUGGGAGAGCGCGUGCUUUGCAAGCAUGAGGUCGUCGGUUCGAUCCCGUCUGGCUCCACCAGAUGGUUUGAUCACCAACGGCGUAACCGUCGUCCGCGAAACAUCACUUCGCACACAUUGGUCCGGAUGGACGGUGAUGUGCGUGUUUUCUGACAUCGUAAAGAGGAGAUCGAUCCGAGUUUGGAUCAAGCGAAGCAAUUCGCCUGAACCAUUCACUAUCUCCGGGAUCAUUUCGGCGCUCGCUUUCAGUCGUGAGAUUGAGUGCGGGUUGUAAAUGAUCUCUGUUAGCGAAGCUUGACCGCCUCGCUAUCGGGCCGAUCUUACGAAGCAAGCUGGUCUUUCUAGUCAAUGUCCGGCUGCGCAAUCGCAUUCAUCGAGGAUGCGCG